UGGCUCAGUGGUGGAGAGCACUGGCUGCUCUUGCAGAGGACCUGGGUUCAAUUCCCAG
rnacentral:tRNA from 1 species